UACCUACGGGGCGCAGCAGUGAGGAAUAUUGGUCAAUGGGCGCAGGCCUGAACCAGCCAAGUCGCGUGAGGGAAGACUGCCCUAUGGGUUGUAAACCUCUUUUAUAAGGGAAGAAUAAUGACUACGUGUAGUCAGAUGCCCGUACCUUAUGAAUAAGCAUCGGCUAACUCCGUGCCAGCAGCCGCGGUAAUACGGAGGAUGCGAGCGUUAUCCGGAUUUAUUGGGUUUAAAGGGUGCGUAGGCGGCAUUAUAAGUUAGUGGUAAAAUAUUGGGGCUUCACCUCACUACGCCAUUAAUACUGUAGA
rnacentral:rRNA from 1 species